rnacentral:sRNA from 1 species
CCGCCACGGAUAGCGGUGGUUCUACACAGUAGCGAUGUUUCGGCUUUGCCGAACUCACCGAUUAAAAAUGUACAAGGAAGUACAUUUUUAAUCAC